CUCAAUCUCUCAUCUGUCUCCUCCCUCACUCACGACCUCUUCCCCAUUUUCAACUCCCUCUUACCAGAUCUCUCCUAUUUUUGGACUCUCUCUCAACAACUCUCUCCCAUUUUUGGACCUCUCUCCAUGGUUUACUGGAAUUUUCAGACCUCUUUCCAUGGUCAUCAACGCUUGCUUCAAUCCUUGAGUCGUUACCAUUUUUCUUCGAAUCUCUGAGCCGCCACCAUCGUCCUUCGAACCCGUGAGCCGCCACCGUCGUUGUUCACUUCUCUAAGCCACUGUCAUUGUUGUUGAGUUCUCUGAGCUGCCUCCAUCGUUGUUGAGUUCUCUGAGCCGCCUCUAUCGUUGUUGAGUUCUCUACGUCGCCACCAUAGUUGGUUUGAUUUUGGUUUCAUUAGAGGCUUUGAUUAUUUCGAAUUGGGUGGAUUGGCUUGGCUUUGAGAUUUUUUUGGUGGCUUUUAUGUUGGAUUGGUGGCUGUAAAUUUUUUGGUUGUUGGGUUUUUGGUGGCUCUGAUUUUCGAACAAAUUGGCUUGGUGGCUUUGAGGAUAAAAUGAUGGCGUUAAGAGCUCAACACACUCCAGAAGAAAUGUCUGAUAAAGACAUUAUGGAGCGUAUUCUUGGACGCUCUUUUGCACACUUGAAAGGUUGGGGUCGAUCUUUUUCAAGUACAACUUCUACUUCCCAACGCAAUCCAACUGAGUCAAAUAAGCCAACAUAUGAUGAGCUAGCCCAACGCCUUGAUGAAGCAAACAAUCGACUUGAUUCUACAAAUGACCAACUAAGUAUUGUUGUGGAAAUACUAAGGAAACAAUAUGAUGCCACCGCCUCCGUCAUAUCAAUGUUUUAAUGCAAAUGUCAGAAAUUCUCCCGUCCCUUCAAUUCUAGCGGAACAAGAUGAUUCGUAGUUUUUUUUUUAUGUUUUUAAUUCAAAACUUUAAAGAUAAAUUAUUAUGGACAUUUUAUCUUUUAUGUUUGUUUGUUUGAACAUUUUAUAAUAUAUGUUUAUUUUAUUUUA